rnacentral:rRNA from 1 species
CAUCUGCUCAAUGAACUUUUAAAUAGCCGCGGAAAUUUAACCGUGCUAAGGUAGCAUAAUCAUUAGCCCCUUAAUUAGUGGCUUGUAUGAAGGAUGAAACAUUUGGAUAUCUUUUUUAAUUUUUUUCUUUUAACUUAAAUUAAGAAUAAAAAUAUUCUUAUUUAUUUAAUAGACGACAAGACCCUACUGAACUUUACUUUAGUUUCGCUGGGGCAGCGAAAUAAUAAUAUUUUUUUUUCUACAAUAUUUACUAAAUGACCCAUUAUAAAUGAAUAUUUGCUUAAGUUACCAUAGGGAUAACAGCGUAAUUAAUUUUUGAAGCUCUUAUUUAAAAAAAUGAUUGCGACCUCGAUGUUGAAUUAUUGUUACUAUCUUAACGCAACAGUUAAUAA